rnacentral:rRNA from 1 species
CCUACGGGAGGCAGCAGUAGGGAAUAUUGCUCAAUGGGGGAAACCCUGAAGCAGCAACGCCGCGUGGAGGAUGAAGGUUUUCGGUAUGUAAAGCCCUUUCGUUAGAGAAGAAAAUGACGGUAUCUAACGAAUAAGCACCGGCUAACUCCGUGCCAGCAGCCGCGGUAAUACGGAGGGUGCAAGCGUUAUUCGGAAUUACUGGGCGUAAAGAGCGCGUAGGUGGGAUAGCAAGUCAGGAGUGAAAUCCUAGGGCUUAACCAGAGGACUGCAUUUGAAACUGUGAGUCUAGAGUGAGGGAGAGGUAGGUGGAAUUCUUGGUGUAGGGGUGAAAUGCGUAGAGAUCAAGAGGAAUACUCGUUGCGAAGGCGGCCUGCUGGAACGUAACUGACGCUGAGGCGCGAAAGCGUGGGGAGCAAACAGGAUUAGAUACCCCUGUAGUC